rnacentral:rRNA from 1 species
GUGCCAGCAGCUGCGGUAAUACGUAGGGGCAAGCGUUGUCCGGAAUUAUUGGGCGUAAAGCGCGCGCAGGCGGUUUCUUAAGUCUGAUGUGAAAUCUCGAGGCUCAACCUCGAGCGGUCAUUGGAAACUGGGGAACUUGAGUACAGAAGAGGAGAGUGGAAUUCCACGUGUAGCGGUGAAAUGCGUAGAUAUGUGGAGGAACACCAGUGGCGAAGGCGACUCUCUGGUCUGUAACUGACGCUGAGCGCGAAAGCGUGGGAGCGAACAGGAUUAGAUACCCUGGUAGUCCACGCCGUAAACGAUGAGUGCGUAGGUGUUA